AGUGGGGGAUAACGUAGCGAAAGUUACGCUAAUACCGCAUAUGCCCUGAGGGGGAAAGGAGGGGAUCGCAAGACCUUUCGCUUUCGGAGUGGCCGAUAUCAGAUUAGCUAGUUGGUGGGGUAAAGGCCUACCAAGGCGACGAUCUGUAGCGGGUCUGAGAGGAUGAUCCGCCACACUGGGACUGAGACACGGCCCAGACUCCUACGGGAGGCAGCAGUGGGGAAUUUUGGACAAUGGGGGCAACCCUGAUCCAGCCAUGCCGCGUGAGUGAAGAAGGCCUUCGGGUUGUAAAGCUCUUUCGGACGGAAAGAAAUCCUAUUCGCUAAUACCGGGUGGGGAUGACGGUACCGUAAGAAGAAGCACCGGCUAACUACGUGCCAGCAGCCGCGGUAAUACGUAGGGUGCGAGCGUUAAUCGGAAUUACUGGGCGUAAAGCGUGCGCAGGCGGUUUUGUAAGACAGAUGUGAAAUCCCCGGGCUUAACCUGGGAACUGCAUUUGUGACUGCAAGGCUAGAGUGCGGCAGAGGGGGGUAGAAUUCCA
rnacentral:rRNA from 1 species